rnacentral:rRNA from 1 species
GAGUUUGAUCCUGGCUCAGAUUGAACGCUGGCGGCAUGCCUUACACAUGCAAGUCGAACGGCAGCACGGGAGCUUGCUCCUGGUGGCGAGUGGCGAACGGGUGAGUAAUGCAUCGGAACGUAUCCUGGAGUGGGGGAUAACGUAGCGAAAGUUACGCUAAUACCGCAUAUUCUGUGAGCAGGAAAGCGGGGGACCUUCGGGCCUCGCGCUCUUGGAGCGGCCGAUGUCGGAUUAGCUAGUUGGUGAGGUAAAGGCUCACCAAGGCGACGAUCCGUAGCAGGUCUGAGAGGAUGAUCUGCCACACUGGAACUGAGACACGGUCCAGACUCCUACGGGAGGCAGCGAGUGGGAAUUUUGGACAAUGGGGGCAACCCUGAUCCAGCCAUGCCGCGUGAGUGAAGAAGGCCUGG